UACCCAUUGAAGGUCAAGAAAUACCUAAAUUCUGCUUUGGUUUUGCGCGCUAUGAGAUGCUUCAAAACAGAAUUAAGAACAACAAAGUUCUAACAGAUUACAUUGGUCGUGUUGACAAGAAUUACUUACAGCCAACUACAACAGGAAAGAUUUUGAGAAAGGUCGUCAUGACAGAUGAAUGG